rnacentral:rRNA from 1 species
AGUGAACGCUGGCGGUAGGCCUAACACAUGCAAGUCGAACGGCAGCACAGUAAGAGCUUGCUCUUACGGGUGGCGAGUGGCGGACGGGUGAGGAAUACAUCGGAAUCUACUUUUUCGUGGGGGAUAACGUAGGGAAACUUACGCUAAUACCGCAUACGACCUACGGGUGAAAGCAGUGGAUCUUCGGACCUUGCGCGAUUGAAUGAGCCGAUGUCGGAUUAGCUAGUUGGCGGGGUAAAGGCCCACCAAGGCGACGAUCCGUAGCUGGUGUGAGAGGAUGAUCAGCCACACUGGAACUGAGACACGGUCCAUACUCCUACGGGAGGCAGCAGUGGGGAAUAUUGGACAAUGGGCGCAAGCCUGAUCCAGCCAUACCGCGUGGGUGAAGAAGGCCUUCGGGUUGUAAAGCCCUUUUGUUGGGAAAGAAAAGCAGCAGGUUAAUACCCCGCGGUUCUGACGGUACCCAAAGAAUAAGCACCGGCUAACUUCGUG